GGGGUACACGAGCGGCGAACGUGUGAGUAACACGUGGGUGAUCUGCCCUGUACUUCGGGAUAAGCCUGGGAAACUGGGUCUAAUACCGGAUAUGACCUACGGAUGCAUGACCUUGGGUGGAAAGAUUUAUCGGUACAGGAUGGGCCCGCGGCCUAUCAGCUUGUUGGUGGGGUAAUGGCCUACCAAGGCGACGACGGGUAGCCGGCCUGAGAGGGCGACCGGCCACACUGGGACUGAGACACGGCCCAGACUCCUACGGGAGGCAGCAGUGGGGAAUAUUGCACAAUGGGCGAAAGCCUGAUGCAGCGACGCCGCGUGAGGGAUGACGGCCUUCGGGUUGUAAACCUCGUUCGACAGGGACGAAGCGCAAGUGACGGUACCUGUAGAAGAAGCACCGGCCAACUACGUGCCAGCAGCCGCGGUAAUACGUAGGGUGCGAGCGUUGUCCGGAAUUACUGGGCGUAAGAAGCUUGUAGGCGUGUCGUCGCGUCGUUCGUGAAAACUUGGGGCUCAACCCCAAGCUUGCGGGCGAUACGGGCGGACUAGAGUACUUCAGCGGAGACUGGAAUUCCUGGUGUAGCGGUGAAAUGCGCAGAUAUCAGGAGGAACACCGGUGGCGAAGGCGGGUCUCUGGGAAGUAACUGACGCUGAGAAGCGAAAGCGUGGGUAGCGAACAGGAUUAGAUACCCUGGUAGUCCACGCCGUAAACGGUGGGUACUAGGUGUGGGUUUCCUUCCACGGGAUCCGUGCCGUAGCUAACGCAUUAAGUACGCUGCCUGGGGAGUACGGCCGCAAGGCUAGCACUCAAAGGAAUUGACGGGGGCCCGCACAAGCGGCGGAGCAUGUGCAUUAAUUCGAUGCAACGCGAUGAACCUUACCUGGAUGUGACAUACACCGGAUGCCUGCAGAGAUGUAGGCC
rnacentral:rRNA from 1 species